GUAUUUAUCUGCUUUUCCUUUUCCCCCUAAGAAAUUCAAGGAUGUGUACAAUAUUUGUACACAAUCCAUGACUAAGAUUCUGUCUGGAUCGCAGAGGGUUAAAAGCCACUACUUCUGCAAGAAAGACCUAUUUAAAACCUACACUAAAGUUAUUGGUGCCCUCCUGGAAAAUGAAAAUCACUGGACCCUUUUUUUCUGUGACCUCACAAAACAAGAAGUCACAUACAUGGAUCCAUUUGGUGAAGCCAAUGGAAAGAAAAACGAGAUUCUGAAGAAUUGGAGUUAUUUUGCCAAAGCUAAAGGAUGUGCCCUGAAAUGGACAUGGAAUGAUGUGCCCCACGACAAGAGGAUGGACAUUCUUGUGGGGUCCAUGUGCUAAUGUUUGCUCAGGCCCUGCUUGAGGGAAAAGGUUUCGUGGAUGGAUAUGCCUCCGUGGAUAUACCCCAGCUGAGGGCACAGUUCUGCAACAUUCUGUUUUCCUCUUUAGAUAGAGGAGUAAAGUGCACAGUGUGCUGGAGUGUCCUGAUGUCCUGACUUUUAGGUGUGCUGUCAGGAAUGUGGUGCACACAGCCAUUUGAGAUGUCAGCGAAAACCAUGUGGCUUCUGUGUAAUUUGGCCGCAAAAAAAAUCUCCCUGAAUUAGUCCUCAAUCUUCCCAAGAAAAUGAAAACUAAGACAAGCAUUUUUAGUGCACUAACAGAGGGCGAGGCUUCAGACCUUGCCACUGGUUUAACUAAAAGCCUGUGUCAAAAUGUCAGUCCAAAGUUGGUACGUAAAGACAUAAGUGACCACAAUGCAGAAGUGACCAGGACAACUCUGGCUAGUGUACGUGCCAACUUGCAAUCAAGCCUGGAUUCUAGAUCAGCUUUCAGUUUAUUAACCCACACAUUUGGUCCACAAGCAGUGGAUGGAGUGUUAGGCUUCAUCUCAGAGAGUCUAAAAUGAAAGCAGAACAAAUACAUUUCAAAUG